rnacentral:rRNA from 1 species
ACGAACGCUGGCGGCAUGCCUAACACAUGCAAGUCGAACGAGACCUUCGGGUCUAGUGGCGCACGGGUGCGUAACGCGUGGGAACCUGCCCUUAGGUUCGGAAUAACUCCCCGAAAGGGGUGCUAAUACCGGAUAAUGUCUUCGGACCAAAGAUUUAUUGCCUUUGGAUGGGCCCGCGUUGGAUUAGCUAGUUGGUAGGGUAAAAGCCUACCAAGGCGACGAUCCAUAGAUGGUCUGAGAGGAUGAUCAGCCACACUGGGACUGAGACACGGCCCAGACUCCUACGGGAGGCAGCAGUGGGGAAUAUUGGACAAUGGGCGAAAGCCUGAUCCAGCAAUGCCGCGUGAGUGAUGAAGGCCUUAGGGUUGUAAAGCUCUUUUACCCGGGAUGAUAAUGACAGUACCGGGAGAAUAAGCUCCGGCUAACUCCGUG